GAUGAAGAACGUAGCGAAAUGCGAUAAGUAAUGUGAAUUGCAGAAUUCCGUGAAUCAUCGAAUCUUUGAACGCACAUUGCGCCCCCUGGCAUUCCGGGGGGCAUGCCUGUCCGAGCGUCAUUUCUGCCCUCAAGCACGGCUUGUGUGUUGGGUGUGGUCCCCCCGGGGACCUGCCCGAAAGGCAGCGGCGACGUCCGUCUGGUCCUCGAGCGUAUGGGGCUCUGUCACUCGCUCGGGAAGGACCUGCGGGGGUUGGUCACCACUAUAUUUUACCACGGUUGACCUCGGAUCAGGUAGGAGUUACCCGCUGAACUUAAGCAUAACAAUAAGCGGAGGA
rnacentral:misc_RNA from 1 species